GUUUGUUUAGUUAAAUAAACACUGUUGAUUAAUAGUUUUGUUUUUGUGUAGUUUUGUUAAAGAGUUGGAACUGUUAAGUUGUGCCGAAGCUACAAAAAUGUUAGCGAAAGUGUUGUGUUUUGCUAUCACUGCAUCACUCGCAUAUGCAGGCUCCCAAAACAUUGUAAGGCCCUGUCGCCUGAACGACCUCAGGUGCCUCGGAGACAACUUCGCGGCGAACUCGAAAUGCAGCCGCAACGUGGCCGGACGCAUCUCACCGCAGUACGUGGUCGAUGAGUUUGAGUUCGAGACUCCAUACUUCAACUCGUCGUAUAUUGACAAGAAUCUGAUCGUGAGGAACCAUGAUAAGUGCUUCGUUUCAGAAUUUUUCUUCAACAUCCAGUCCGACACGUCAGUGAUCACCAUUGACUGUCCAGGACUCGAACUGCAGACCCAGCGGACGCUGAUCCGCCAUCAGACCGCGCUGGAGGAUGAGUACUUCCACUUCAACUACAGGGCUUCAUAUCCACUGGUCCGCCUCACUAUGAACAUCAAACACGCGGAUUCCAUGCAAGUAUGUUCAGCGUACACGUUCGCUGAUGUUACAACCUUGCCCAACAUCUUUGUGGAGCCUACUGACAAACCAACAGAGAGGUUCCUGUCGACUGACCUGUCAUAUCUGAAUAUCUAUGAACGUGAGAAUUUCUUGUACCGCGCCGGUCCCCUCAUCAAGAUCUUCAUUAACUCUUACAUUUGCAAUUUUGGGUGUAUUUAAAUGUAAAAUGAUGAACUUAUAAUCGUUUUAAAAAUCUUUUAAUAGUUAAGGCCUGUUUCAUUUGUUGAAUUUACAUCAUAUUUCGAAAUUAUGUAUAAUGUUAGGGCCUUCCUGAUAAAAUAUCAUAUUGUAAUCUGACAGAUAAACUAAUAUCUGUAUGAUAUGUUACAUUUAGGCUAUCUGAUAUCAGCAUACGUUGAAGCAGGUCUCGAGUCGAAUAUUUUUCGUUUAAUAAAUUUUUUGGUUCACUUUUG